CGACCUGCUGGUGUGACACGAGGGGCGGUCUUCCGCGCCGCCCCGGGUCCGGUGAUCCCGGACCGUCGCCGGGCGGGUCGUC
rnacentral:tRNA from 1 species